rnacentral:rRNA from 1 species
UACGGGGGAGCAAGCGUUGUUCGGAUUUACUGGGACGGUAAAGGGCGCGUGAGGUCGGCCACCGCAAGUCAUGUUGUGAAAUCUCUGGGCUUAACCCAGAAAGGUCAACUGAUACUGCGGGGCUAGAGUGCAGAAGGGGCAACUGGAAUUCUCGGUGUAGCGGUGAAAUGCGUAGAUAUCGAGAGGAACACCUGCGGCGAAGGCGGGUUGCUGGGCUGACACUGACGCUGAGGCGCGAAAGCUAAGGGGAGCGGAACGGG